rnacentral:rRNA from 1 species
UACGGAGGAUGCAAGCGUUAUCCGGAAUGAUUGGGCGUAAAGCGUCCGCAGGUGGCAAUGUAAGUCUGCUGUCAAAGCGUCUGGCUCAACCAGAUAAAGGCAGUGGAAACUACAUAGCUAGAGUAAGGUAGGGGUAGAGGGAAUUCCUGGUGUAGCGGUGAAAUGCGUAGAGAUCAGGAAGAACACCGGUGGCGAAGGCGGGUCUCUGGGCACUUACUGACGCUGAGGAGCGAAAGCGUGGGGAGCGAACAGG